GCUGAUGUAGCUCAGAUGGUAGAGCGCAUCCUUGGUAAGGAUGAGGUCACCGGUUCGAUUCCGGUCACCAGCUCCA
rnacentral:tRNA from 1 species